UUAUUCUUUGAAAUAAAAAGGAAAUACCCCCAGUGAAAAACAACAGUUAGAUGGGCUGGUCAUUUACCUGAAAAAAGGAGACAUUUACCUGAUGAAGGAAGAUGUGAGAAUUCAAAUAAUGUCCAUCUCAUAAAUAGCUCAGCUGUCUGGAUCACAAGUAGUGGACGACUUCCAAACCAGUUCCACUGGGAUGUAAAACUAGAAAAUGCUGAGAGAAUCAGCAGACAAACUUAGUUGCUGGGAAAUAGGCAAUGGAGUUGGCUUAUUCUUUUCUGUGAUCUCAAUGACUCUGCUGACCGAGUCAUUAAAAUUAUGUGUAACUGGAGAAGUCUAAAAAUACACAUAAAUUAAUAUGGAAAAAUUAACAAUUACCAAUGUUCCAAUAUUUAUCCAUGUUGAAAUAACAAACUUCCUGUCUGACAAACUUCCAAUAUGCAUGAACUUCAUUCUAACAUUUUGCCAAGCAAUUCUUUAUAAAAAUUAUUAUGAAAAUCACAUUCUGUUUGGUAUAAACUGUAACCACAAAUUGGAAGUGCUGAUACUUUCUGAAAGCCAUGUUCUAACAGCUUUAUCUAGAUGGGAUAUUUCAUUAGCAUUACAGACAUCACCCAAUCUUGUAAACUUAUCAUCAUUUUGAAAAAAAUUUGCACACAAUGAUUUCCAAACCCUGGUUAAAUCACUCUGCAUUAUGACAGUCAGCACCAUUCUAAGGGUUUGCAGUGUAGCAAAACAUUUGCAGACACUUCAGCUGAGGAGAAGGACAGGACUUCCUACAAACUGUAAGCCUGCAAGUCCUCUGUGUCCAGAGUUAAAGGCCUAUUGCAUUCUUCAAUGGGGACUUCAUGUUUCCCAUCCAAGACAACCUUAAAUAAAGCUGCCAAAAAAGAAUCAGGCAAAGUUUUGAAGAUACACAUAGAAGGUACACAUCUUUGUCUGUGUCUACAUUUCUAAAUCCAUACACAUGUGUAUGGACAUGAGUGUACAACAUACACAAAGGGAGAGGAGUACAGCUUGUACUUUGAAAAAUAUCCUAUGACUUCUCAUUUUAUCAUAUGAUUCAACAGCAGGAGCCACUCCUGGAACUGCAAAGUGUCACAGGUUACAGUCCACUGCAGGACUAAUAUCAAAAGAGGUCUUCAGCCAAAUAUGAUGAUUUGGGCCCACAUAGUUUCAACUGACCAGAAAGCAAGUCAUCUGGAACAAGAACUGGAACCAGGCUAGAGCACCAAGUUUGGAGUAUGCUGCUAUCCUACUUGCCCAACAGAAAAGAUACAGUAUCUCUGGAGAAGAGCCAUCUAGGUGUUACGUAUGAACACUCUGAAAAUAAACACAGAAGCAGUAGGUCAUUUGGAGCUAUAUCUCAUCCUUUACCAUCUAUGAUAUACCUCAGAGAACUUACCAUCUCUGUGACACCUGGAGGACACAUCUUUGCAUAGCUUCAUUUCUAUCUCACACCUCCCCCAACACGCAUUUUGUUAUUUUUUAAAA